CGUGCCAGCAGCCGCGGUAAUACGGGGGAUGCAAGCGUUAUCCGGAAUGAUUGGGCGUAAAGCGCCUGUAGGUUGUUUAUUAAGUCCGUUGUUAAAGCCUAGGGCUUAACCCUAGAAAAGCAAUGGAAACUAGUAGACUAGAGUAUGGCAGGGGUAGAGGGAAUUUCUAGUGUAGCGGUGAAAUGCGUAGAUAUUAGAAAGAACACCGGUGGCGAAAGCGCUCUACUGGACCAUUACUGACACUCAGAGGCGAAAGCUAGGGUAGCAAAAGGGAUUAGAUACCCCUGUAGUCCUAGCCGUAAACGAUGGAUACUAGAUGUUGUGCAUUAUGUACAGUAUCGUAGCUAACGCGUUAAGUAUCCCGCCUGGGGAGUACGCUCGCAAGGGUGAAACUCAAAGGAAUUGACGGGGGCCCGCACAAGCGGUGGAGCAUGUGGUUUAAUUCGAUGCAACGCGAAGAACCUUACCAGGGCUUGACAUACUACGAAUUUUCUUGAAAGAGAAAAGUGCCUUCGGGAAUGUAGAUACAGGUGGUGCAUGGCUGUCGUCAGCUCGUGUCGUGAGAUGUUGGGUUAAGUCCCGCAACGAGCGCAACCCUUAUUUUUAGUUACCAAUUCGUUGGGUUCUCUAGAAAGACUGCCGGUGACAAACCGGAGGAAGGUGAGGAUGACGUCAAGUCAGCAUGCCCCUUAUGUCCUGGGCUACACACGUGCUACAAUGGUUAAGACAAAGAGUUGCGAGCUUGUAAAAGUCAGCUAAUCUCGUAAACUUAGCCUAAGUUCAGAUUGUAGGCUGCAACUCGCCUGCAUGAAGUUGGAAUCGCUAGUAAUCGCUGGUCAGCUAUACAGCGGUGAAUCCGUUCCCGGGCCUUGUACACACCGCCCGUC
rnacentral:rRNA from 1 species